UACAGAGGGGGCAAGCGUUAUUCGGAAUUAUUGGGCGUAAAGGGCGCGUAGGCGGCUUUUCAAGUGGCGGGUGAAAUCCCUCGGCUUAACCGAGGAACUGCCUGCCAGACUGGAAGGCUUGAGACCGGGAGAGGUGAGUGGAAUUCCCAGUGUAGCGGUGAAAUGCGUAGAUAUUGGGAGGAACACCAGUGGCGAAGGCGGCUCACUGGACCGGUUCUGACGCUGAGGCGCGAAAGCGUGGGGAGCAAACGGG
rnacentral:rRNA from 1 species